rnacentral:lncRNA from 1 species
AUAACACCAUAAUUUAAAUCAUAAGACUCACCAUAACAUCAUAGUUCAUAGUUUAACAGACGUAGUUCAACAAACAACAUAGUUCAACAGAAAACAUAGUUCAAUAGACAACAUCAUAACACUCAGAAUACGACAUAGGUAACAUACUUCACUUCCUCCCUCUCUUUGCAGCCAUCUUGCCCUUAGUAACGUAGCCCUCUGGAGUGUUCUGCCAGCCAG